rnacentral:lncRNA from 1 species
UCUGCUUCUUAAUUCAGACAUCUAGAGUUGUGUCACUGCAGAAAAUCUGUAGAUGAAAAUGCAGUUAUGGUGGAUUAUGGAAUAACCUUUCUGUUAUUUUCACUUUUAUAUCUUUUAAACUUUUACCCAAGAAAGUAUUAAAAUAAAUGAAAACCAUAGAAGGCAAGGAAAUAAAAUUUCUCAACACUUAGGUUUUUUAGUUUGUUCUACUUAAUUUAAAUCCAACUAUGAUUCUUCCUCUAAUGUGAAUUGGUUCACAUUUUUUUGGUGUGUCAUAUAUCAUUAAAAAAAAGAAAAGAAUAUGAAAUUAAUAUUAGCCAAAGUCUACAACUCAUUAGAGCCAACUUAUAAGAAUAUACCAAAAAGAGUAUUAUUCAAAAUAAUUUCUUUUUUGACUAAAGACUAUUAAUACCUGACUUAGGGGAUAUACACUUUAACUUGAGCCUCUCAUCACAAACUUCUCUUAUUCUUGAGGAAUCCUGUUAUUUCUCUAUUUCAGUACCUUCCCACUGAUAUUUAACUGAAUACUUAUUCCUGCUUUUUCUUUUUGGAUAGGUGGUCUGAACUUUCAUUGUGGAUGGCUGACAGAUGUCAAUUUCUAGAAUCAAGAUGUAGUUUUCAAUAGCCCUCUAAGAAUACAAUCAUAAAGAUUCCACAUUUAAUGGGAAGACUGUGAAAAACAAUAACUAUGUAAAAGCCACUGUGACUAUCUACUUCAUGUGUCUUCAAAGUAGUCUAAUCCCAAGCUAUGCUUCUAUUACUAUAUUAUUAUAACAGAGAAUUAAGUCUAUCAUUUCUGCCCUUAUGACAAAGAAAGGCAAGAAAAAUUUCUAAUUUCAACAUAAAGACCAGAUGAGCCCUCUUAUUAUUUUAAGCCACUUGCCUACAUACACCAAUGACAGUAACAAGUCCCUCAUGGAAACUUCAUCAAAAUGUCUGCUGAAUCAUUUAAGCACUUGCUAUUUCAUCAUAAACCCUAAAAGCUAAGUAUGGGUUUCUGUUCUGUCCUUCAUUCUAGCAACAGAAUAAACACCAUAGUGUGAAACUAUUGCUUUAUAAGCUGCCAAUGUUCAAUUCAGGAGGCAUAAUCUAAAGACAAUCAUCAUUAUAUAAGAUCAAAAAAAGAACUAGAAAUUGCAGAUUUCCCAAUGCAGAGAAAAGAAAACUGUAUCAUAAUUCCCAGUGUCAUAUUAACUUAAAUUUUACUGGUAUUCUAAGGAAUUACAUUAUCACAAUAAGAUAACAAAGCGCAGUUUAGUGAUUUUCAAUGAAAAUAUGGCAAACACUGUUGAUUGCCUAUCUAACAAUCACUCCUUCCACCCUUUCUCCCUGCUCACAGAUCCUGCUUAUAUUUCAGGGGUUAAAAGUGCCUCCUCUAUAAAAAGUCCUCCUUCUCACCUCCCUUACAACCAGGGCAGAGGUAGGAUGUAACCCAAUCCUAACUCUGGGGCCUAAGAGAGCUGAAGCUGGAUAGCAAGUCUUUGGAGGAGGUUACCUUCAACAAUAAAGGGGUAUACACAGGAGGAGGAAACUGCUCUUUCUCUAUAGCAUUUGAUUGUACCUCCAUGUGAACCUAACCUCCCCCUACCACCACCACCAGGUGCUAAAGCCAUCUUAAAACCAUUAGGACAAAUAUCACUAAUGUGAUGAAUAUAACACAGAGAAUAGUACUUGAGCAUCUUAUAGUUUCACAGACCCUUAAUUCUAACAGUGGAAAAGUCCUGCCUCUACCUUCUUGAUAGGUAACAGUUAUCUUAGUUUAUGGCUUAAGCUUAAGCCAUUUUAUUUGGAUAUUGUUGGUACCUGAAAGCCAAAACAUACUAACUAAUCUAGCUAGCAAAUAACUGUUCACUUCACACUCUCAGGUCAGGAAGUUAGGUCUCUGCUAUUUAGUGGACUCAACACUACAACCCUCUCUACCUUGAUCCCUAGUGCUUCACUACCGUAUAUCUUCUCUUCCUUUUUAAAAUUCUAAUUGCUGUAAGGACCAAGCUUAAUGUAAUUAUAUUCACAUCUAUUUCACAUAAAGUCUUUCUUCCACAAUUUUUCCCUGAUGAUGAAAUAGAAGGUACUUUUUGCUUCUCUGAUAUACUUUUCAGUUAUGUCUGCUUUUAACAGCUUUACAAAUGUGCCCCAAUUUUUAGCUUACAUUUUCUCUCUUACUAUCCAAAGUCCAGUCACAUAUUGAAAUCACAAUUGAUCUAAAAUUUUUAAAAAUAAAAUGCUAAAUACAGGAUAAGGUUUUGCUUUUAUAGAGUCACCAUGAACAUUAAUAAAUACAGCUAAAUGAUGAGUAACUGAGUCUGUUAUCCUUUGUUCAUAACAAAAAAUUUAACCCAAAUUUAAAAACAAUGAAAAAGACAAAGUGAAUAACUGCAGGUGAAAUCAGAAUUCAACCUCAGCACAGUUAAUUUUUAAAGAGACUUAAAAAUUCUUGAAUGCUAUAUUUAAAGGGAUAAAGAUCAUACUAUGAAUUUCCAUGUUUGCUUAGAAUAAAGAAAGGCUCCUUAAGCAGGAGUUGAUAAAACUUUUGUUCAAAGUUACUCAGAAAUUCAGCAACAUGAAAACUAAACCAGUCAAAGAGACAUAACUAACAUUUGAUUUAUUAGGAAAAUAAGGUUUUAGAGGAAAGACUACAAACCUUGAAAACUUCAGAUCCUUUUCUUUGAUACAACUCCUUUUAUUGUUAUUUGGCUUAUUACAAAAACUUGCUCACUAAAAAGAAAAAAGUCACAAUUAAAUACUUUUCAGAAAAAUCAAUUAGAAAU